AUUGAACGCUGGCGGCAGGCCUAUCACCUGCACGUCGACCGGAGCGGCGGACGGGUGGGUAAUGCCUAUGACUCUGCCUGGGACUGGGGGAUAACGUCAGGAAACGGGCGCUAAUACCGCAUACUCUCAGAAUAGCCUAGGUGGGCUUAGCUAGAUGGUGGGGUAAAGGCCUUCCAAGUCCACGAACCGUCACUGGUCUGAGAGGACGAUCAGUCACAAUGGAACUGAGACACGGUCCAGACUCCUACGGGAGGGAGCAGUGGGGAAUAUUGGACUAUGGGCGGAAGCCUGAUCCAGCCAUGCCGCGUGUGUUAAGAAGGUCUUCGGAUUGUAAAGCACUUUAAGCUGGGAGGCGUUACCAACAGAAUAAGCAACGGCUAACUUCGUGCCAGCAGCCGCGGUAAUUC
rnacentral:rRNA from 1 species